rnacentral:rRNA from 1 species
UACGGAGGGUGCAAGCGUUAAUCGGAAUUACUAGGCGUAAAGCGUGCGCAGGCGGUUUGUUAAGUCUGCUGUGAAAUCCCCGAGCUCAACUUGGGAAUUGCAGUGGAUACUGGCAAGCUGGAGUACGGUAGAGGAAGGUGGAAUUCCCGGUGUAGCAGUGAAAUGCGUAGAGAUCGGGAGGAACACCAGUGGCGAAGGCGGCCUUCUGGACCAGUACCGACGCUCAUGCACGAAAGCGUGGGGAGCAAACAGG